rnacentral:rRNA from 1 species
CAGGGAUUGCCCUAGUAACGGCGAGUGAAGCGGCAACAGCUCAAAUUUGAAAUCUGGCCUCGGCCCGAGUUGUAAUUUGCAGAGGAUGCUUCUGGCGCGGUGCCUUCCGAGUUCCCUGGAACGGGACGCCACAGAGGGUGAGAGCCCCGUAUGGUCGGACACCAAGCCUGUGUGAAGCUCCUUCGACGAGUCGAGUAGUUUGGGAAUGCUGCUCUAAAUGGGAGGUAAAUCUCUUCUAAAGCUAAAUACCGGCCAGAGACCGAUAGCGCACAAGUAGAGUGAUCGAAAGAUGAAAAGCACCUUGAAAAGGGGGUUAAAUAGUACGUGAAAUUGUUGAAAGGGAAGCACUUGUGACCAGACUUGGGCCGGGCGGCUCAUCAGGGGUUCUCCCCUGUGCACUCCGCCCGGCACAGGCCAGCAUCGGUUCUCGUGGGGGGAUAAGACCGUCAGGAACGUAGCACCCUCCGGGGUGUGUUAUAGCCUGGCGGACGAUACCCCCGUGGGACCGAGG